UCUGGAACGCUGGUGGAACUCUACACCAUAGCUACGGGGUCUAAUAUGAGUGGUGACAUAUGGUGACAACGCCCUCUAUAAGCUGGUACAAGGGAUAGUGUUCGACGGAAGCGUUGGAUGCGACCUUGUCGACCACACCUGAUUCAAGAUUAAACUCCAAGCUGGGUCUGGAUCAGGACGAGGCAUACAACCAAUAACGGUUCUAACAAGAAUAAAACAAAGAUAACAAGAGGAAGAAGAGCAAGAGUGUUAAAGCUGCAAUCGACGACUGCAUCAUACAUCACAUCAGUUUGACGACAGCAACAACGAAUAGACGAUGAUGACAUCACAGUCUACAUAUUUGCAUCAGACCUUACACGGAUGACACGAGGAGAAAUUGAAAUGAGUUAAGCGCAACAUGAACAUGAAGACAUUUAAAAAAACAAUGCAUAGCUUACCACAACGUCAGGAUAACUAUUCUGAGCAUCUUGGCGGCAACUAGUUUACGAACCACAAACGUUGAUGUUAAACACAGUGUUGCAGGGAGACAGCGCCAUCAAAACAGCUCUUUCCGCUGUUGCAAAGUACAACAAAGUGUUAAAUCUCGCGAGACAAGUAACACGAAAAUGUUUCAGUUUGUGUUUAUGCGUUCAAUGAGUGAAAUAUGGCCAAUAAAUAUGGUAAACCUCGUAAA